GAAUAGUGUUGUGGAAUUUAUUAUAACUGGCAAAGCAUAUCAUCGAACCGAACGCUAUGCCAACGGAAUUAAAUAUUUGUGCUGCCGCGUUGAUCCAAACCUAAAGAAAAAAAUCAAAGAAGGAUGAGAAAUAAAUCUUGUUAUUAUCCACCUUUGCGUCACUAAGGAGUUCCCAACGAGGAUGGAAGAAAAAUUGCAGACCCUUGUCAGCACCUUCAAGGGUGAGGGACCGUGUAAGAAAGACCACGAUCAAAAUGAAUGGCAGAGUCGCGGUGAUGUAUCUAACUUGUGCUGAUGAUUUUAUUGACUUCCAUACCGAGAAGUACACCAUUAUCCAGGCAGUAAUUAAGCAAGCAACUAAUUCCCAUCUAAGUACUCCUGAUUCUUCGAUUCCUUUACUGAUUUGGAGUACUUUGUUGCUAAUUUUCAACACAAAACAGAUAUUAAUUAUAAAUCAUAUCAAAUUCGCUUUAAUUAAAGAUGAUAAAUUAAGAUAUUUUCAAAAAUUCAUCUUAAAUUUCAAAAUUAAAUAUCAAAUGAUAUGUACCAUUUUCUGAAACAAACGUGGUAUCAAUUAAUUAAUAAUAAAUGAAAUUAAUUAAAAAGUUAAAUUGAGAAAUUACUCAAAAAAUUCUUCGGAUGGUGUUCUAGAAGCGUUGGGUCUUGUACGGUUGUCGAUGACACUGUAAGUUGGUAACCAACACGCCAAUGUGUUCCACGAGUUAUCGCAGUCUGACCAUGGUUGUUUUGCUCUGAACGCCGCGAAGAAAUAAUAUAUGGCGUAUGCUAUUAUCACAUUAUGGUAGGUCGACAUCAAGAAUGAUAUUACUACCGAUGACAGACCAGCUCCUAUUUAAAUAAAUCUAAUUAUUUCUGUUUAUCAUUAUUAAUUUUGGAAGUUGAUUAAUUUUAAGGGAGUUUAUUAAAUGACACUGUAUUUUUAUAUUUGUUAUUUUAUUUAAUUUAUAAGUAUGGUUUACCUUUAAAUAAGGGACAAAUUUGACCGAGAGCACCUAUUGGCCCUCGUCGUGUGAAUUGUCCGAUACUAAGUUCCAUGUAUAAUAAUGGUACCCCACAUACUAUAAGUAUGAUGAAGUAAGGUAUCAAGAACACACCUGAAAAUUAAUUCAAUAAAAUCGUCAAUAAAACAUCCGUCAUUAUUACGUAUCUUAAA